UUUUCUGUCCAAAGACUAAAAUCAAUGUUGUGCUAGGUAUCUUGUAAUGGGAUUUGCCUAUUUUGAAUCUGAAAACUAAAGUUAAAGUUCAAGUAAAUGUAAGCAUGUGUUAAGUUAGUCCUUGUUCUAUUUUCAGUAAAUUCUUCAGCUGCUACGAUAUCUUCAAACAUAACAGCAUCCCUGUGCUUAACGGCACAAACUUUAAGGAAUGGAAAGAGAACAUUAUGAUCGU
rnacentral:lncRNA from 1 species